rnacentral:rRNA from 1 species
GUCUAUGGCCAUGCCACCCUGAACAUGCCUGACCUCGUCUGAUCUUGGAAGCUAAGCAGAGUUGGGCCUGGUUAGUACUUGGAUGGGAGACCACCUAGGAAGACCAGGUGCUGUAGCUG